AUUGAACGCUGGCGGCAUGCCUUACACAUGCAAGUCGAACGGUAACAGGUUAAGCUGACGAGUGGCGAACGGGUGAGUAAUACAUCGGAACGUGCCCAGACGUGGGGGAUAACGUAGCGAAAGCUACGCUAAUACCGCAUACGAACUGAGGUUGAAAGCGGGGGACCGUAAGGCCUCGCGCGUUUGGAGCGGCCGAUGGCAGAUUAGGUAGUUGGUGGGGUAAAGGCUUACCAAGCCCGCGAUCUGUAGCUGGUCUGAGAGGACGACCAGCCACACUGGGACUGAGACACGGCCCAGACUCCUACGGGAGGCAGCAGUGGGGAAUUUUGGACAAUGGGCGCAAGCCUGAUCCAGCAAUGCCGCGUGCAGGAUGAAGGCCUUCGGGUUGUAAACUGCUUUUGUACGGAGCGAAACGGCUUCCACUAAUACUGGGGGUUAAUGACGGUACCGUAAGAAUAAGCACCGGCUAACUACGUGCCAGCAGCCGCGGUAA
rnacentral:rRNA from 1 species